GUUUUUGUUUCCGCCUUUUCGAUCGACUGCUUUGUAAAGUUUGUUGUAUGGAAAAAAAACCCAGCCUUUUAUUCCAAGUAACGUAAUUGCUCGUGAGCUGUAUGACCUUUAAACUCAAUGAUUUACAGUUUUUCUAUAGCCUAAAUCGAUAACCUUUCAAUGCGAGUGUUCAAUAGGUCAUUCGCCGGGUUCUACUGAGGAUGAUCCGGAAAAUUGCAGUUCGUCAAAGCGCCAUAGCCCGGCGUGAACCCGUCGUCUAAUAUUAUGUUAUCGUCUGCUUGCUGUUCCAACUCUUGAAAGAAAGGAUUUUCGGCAGGGCUUUUCGGGAAAAAAUUGAAGGGAUCAAUUUCCAAAAAUGGAUACACAGAAGUUACGUGAUGUAGCAUGUGCAGAAAUUGACAAAAACGCAGAAGAUUUGGCGGCACUCAGCAAUGUACUCUGGACCAACCCAGAGCUAGCCUUAGAGGAAUUUAUAGCACACGAUGCACUAACAACAUUCUUAGACAAGCAAGAUUUUGAUAAAGUAGAGAAAAACUUUGUGUUGCCAACAGGAUUCCGCGCUGUAUUUGGGGACAAAAGUAAGGGUCCCCAUGUGGCUAUUAUGAGUGAAUUUGAUGCCCUACCUGGCAUAGGGCAUGCUUGUGGACAUAAUCUCAUUGCUGAGGUGGGUGUGGCAGCCGCUCUCGGGGUCAAGGCUGCACUCAAAUCUGUGGAUGUGCCAUUUGGACAGGUGAGUUUACUGGGGACACCAGCAGAGGAGGAGCACGGGGGAAAGAUUGACUUCAUUAAGGCGGGCGUGUUCAAGGAUGUGGAUGCUGCCAUGAUGGCCCACCCUGCCCAGUAUGAGGUGCUCCGACCAAACUAUGUGGCCAUCUCCGAGUGUAGAGGCUCAUGCGGCGGAGUUUCCCUGGGAAGGAGUUAAUGCCCUUGAUGCCGCCAUCUUGUGCUACAACAACGUCUCCUGUAUGAGGCAGCAGCUGGAUCCGGGCUGGAUGAUUCAUGGCAUUGUGACUGAUGGAGGAGCCAGGCCUAACAUCAUCCCCCGGCGGGCCUCGCUGGAGUACUACAUCCGCACACCCAAAAACCGCGACCUCAAGAAGCUAGAGAGGAAACUCAGGAACUGUAUUCAGGGGGCUGCCCUAGCCACUAACUGUGAGGUGCAGGUCAAAGUGAGGUCGUCGUUCCUGAACCUGCUGUCGAACGAGACGAUGAUCAAGAAGUACGAGGAGUACACCACACAGCUGGGGACGGAGGUGGACACAGACGAGACGCACCAGGCCCUGGGGGGUGGAUCCACAGAUAUGGGGAAUGUGUCGUACGAGGUCCCCAGCAUUCAUCCAGACUUUGCCAUCGGGUCUGAUUGUAACACACACACCAAAGAGUUUACACCAGCUGCAGGUUCAAAGGAGGCGCAGAUCUACACACUGAGAGCGGCCAAGUCACUGGCCAUGCUGUGCAUUGACAUCAUGACGGACAAAGACUUCCUUGAUAAGAUCAAGCAGGAGUUUGAAGAGGAGUCGCAGUGACGAAAACAGUGCCAUAGAAAUGUUACAGUAACUGUUGUAAAAUUUUCCCUUCACCUCAACCAAGCAAGCAUUGUGAUAACUAUUUACCUCAACCAAGCAAGCAUUGUGUCAACUAUAAGCUUUAAAUAAUCUCUCCAAAAAUAAUUUGAGAGCAUACAUUUUUUGCUUGGUCCAUGUGUCAAGUAUUGCAACUUAAACUUGCAAGUUGAGGGAUAUUUUCUGUAGUUUAAGAGAGACUACAUUGAUGAAUAGCCAGUCCUGCAGCCAUUAAAUGGCCACAGUAUGCACAACAAUUCAUUAUGCCAAGUAUUUAAUGUAAUAUCAUCAACAUUGGAUGUGUUUCAAGAUCCUUUAUUACAGGAAUUAAGACACAGUCAAACUCCUAAACUUCGAUCAGCUACAAGUGGUUUUUUGGCUUGGUAGGUUUUUUAUUCUUUGUAAUGAUUUAAAAAAAACCAAAAUUUUGAAAUGGGUAUAAAAUGACUGAACAAAAAUAAAAAUACCAGUCUGAGAGUUUCUGCUUUAUUUAAAGUCAUGAUAAUGAAAAUGUCACGGUAAUUGAAAUACUUGACACAAAUACACAUUUCUUCACAUUUUCAGAGGGAAAAAGUCGUAAACACUCUUUUCACUGUAUAUUUCACUUCUUAUGAAGAAUUUAUCAAUUAAUGUGUAUUUUUUUUUUUUCGUUGAAUUGUUUCUUUAUUCUUAGCUGGAUGCCUUGGCUGUGUAACAUUUAGUUUUGACUUAGCUGAAAAGUGUGAUAAUGAUGUGAAAUUGAAAAGUAUUGAUAAAUCUUGU
rnacentral:misc_RNA from 1 species